rnacentral:lncRNA from 1 species
GAACAGAGUUGAUGACUCCCAGUGGUGUUCUUGAUGGGCAAUGUCUCCAUCUUUUAAAAUCACCCUUACAGGCAGGUGAUUAGUUCCCUUAUUGGCAUUUUCACCUGCAGAAAUGAGGACUGAAUGGGCUGAAUGAUCAUUUUGCACUGUAAUUUAUGCAUGUAGUCCAAUAUAGCUCAUACUGAGGAUCUAUUCCUCUUUUAUAAUUGGGACAAAUUCCAUCUCUAGAAGCUCUUCUUCCAAGAGAGGAUGAAAUAUCUAAACCAUCACCUGUCUAACACCAUUCAGCUGGUAUUUAUUUCUGACAUGUUCGUGUCAGUAGAAGGCUUUCCAAGCUCACAGAGAUAUUGGGAGGUUUCAUUUAUACAAUAGUGUGAGAUUGCCUGAUCAAAGGCAUACAAGUGGAAAUCAUUACUGUUAUUUUCAGACACGUCUUUAAUCACAGCCUCUCCCUAUUCAUCGCAAUCAUUGCAAUUGUAAAUCAGAAGUGAGCUCCCUCACCACCUGGCCACUUGGUUCUCUUUUAAUUUCUGCCUGUUGCCUGUGAAAUCUCUCCUGCAUCCCCCUCCACCUCUCCGUGAUGCGAACACGUGCACGAAAAUUUGCUCUGAUAGCUUCGCUUUGUGUGGAUUUGUUUCUGCAAAGAGAGACUGCCUUGGAUGACAGCAAAUCUCAUACAUCCUGACCAGGGAAGUGCCUCCCUUCCAGCAGCUGCAGAGGUGGGUGAUCCAUCUGAGAAUGAAGAGACUGCUGGGGAGCAAACCUUUUGCUCAGGAUCACAGCAGAACAGCUUCUAGUGCAACUAGCUGAUGGCUAAUUUGCUUGGGGCUGGCAGCCCGGUGCUUUCAACAGCCUGAACUUCACUUAAAAAAAUUAUAGUGAUUAAGUAAACACAGCUAUAAUGGAAAUCUUUAC